UGGAGAGUUUGAUCCUGGCUCAGAGUGAACGCUGGCGGUAGGCCUAACACAUGCAAGUCGAACGGCAGCACAGUAAGAGCUUGCUCUUAUGGGUGGCGAGUGGCGGACGGGUGAGGAAUACAUCGGAAUCUACCUUUUCGUGGGGGAUAACGUAGGGAAACUUACGCUAAUACCGCAUACGACCUUCGGGUGAAAGCAGGGGACCUUCGGGCCUUGCGCGGAUAGAUGAGCCGAUGUCGGAUUAGCUAGUUGGCGGGGUAAAGGCCCACCAAGGCGACGAUCCGUAGCUGGUCUGAGAGGAUGAUCAGCCACACUGGAACUGAGACACGGUCCAGACUCCUACGGGAGGCAGCAGUGGGGAAUAUUGGACAAUGGGCGCAAGCCUGAUCCAGCCAUACCGCGUGGGUGAAGAAGGCCUUCGGGUUGUAAAGCCCUUUUGUUGGGAAAGAAAAGCAGUCGAUUAAUACUCGGUUGUUCUGACGGUACCCAAAGAAUAAGCACCGGCUAACUUCGUGCCAGCAGCCGCGG
rnacentral:rRNA from 3 species